CCCUUAGAUGUUCUGGGCCGCACGCGCGCUACACUGAUGCAUUCAACGAGUUUCUUCCUGGUCCGAGAGGAAUGGGUAACCUUUUGAAAGUGCAUCGUGAUAGGGAUAGACUAUUGCAAUUAUUGGUCUUCAACGAGGAAUUCCUAGUAGACGUAGUUCAUCAUACUGCAUCGAUUACGUCCCUGCCCUUUGUACACACCGCCCGUCGCUCCUACCGAUUGAAUGCUCAGGUGAGCCAUUCGGACUUUCAUCAUGCUGGUUUCCAGUUUUGAUGAAGGAAAGUCUUGCGAACCUUAUCAUUUAGAGGAAGGAGAAGUCGUAACA
rnacentral:rRNA from 1 species